GUUAAUGUAGCUUAAACUUUAAAGCAAAGCACUGAAAAUGCUUAGACGGGUUGACCAACCCCAUAAACACA
rnacentral:tRNA from 1 species